rnacentral:tmRNA from 1 species
GAUAAGGCUUCAGUUGGUGGUCCAGGUCUUGCUGUUGCACGAAAAUUAAAGGCUGGAAUAAACGUGUAGAAAGCGUAUGGUUUCCUUGUGCGGACGUGGGUUCGAAUCCCACCAGCUCCACAA